AUCCUACUCCCUCCGUCCCAAAAUACUUGUCGGAGAAAUGGAUGUAUCUAGAACUAAAAUAUGUCUAGAUACAUAUAUUUCUUCGACAAAUAUUUCCGGACGGAGGGAAUACUUA
rnacentral:pre_miRNA from 1 species